GGGGAAUCAUCAUGGCUCUGAUCAUAGGAGGGGAAAGUACUCCUGGAUUCAUUGCCAUUACAUUAUAACUGAAAAGAGAAAAAGAAACUGCAUGAAAGUGUAAGCCAUAAAAAAUGUAGCCUGAAGGAGGUUUUGAAAG
rnacentral:lncRNA from 1 species